rnacentral:rRNA from 1 species
CCUACGGGCGGCAGCAGUAGGGAAUCUUUCACAAUGGGCGAAAGCCUGACGGAGCAACGCCGCGUGCAGGAUGAAGGCUUUCGGGUUGUAAACUGCUUUUAUAAGCGAGAAAUAUGAUGGUAACUUACGAAUAAGGAUCGGCUAACUACGUGCCAGCAGCCGCGGUCAUACGUAGGAUCCGAGCAUUAUCCGGGGUGACUGGGUGUAAAGAGUUGCGUAGGUGGCAUAAUAAGUAGCGAGUGAAAUCUGGUGGCUCAACCAUUCAGACUAUUAGCUAAACUGUUAAGCUCGAGACCGUUAGAGGUAAGUGGAAUGUCUAGUGUAGGAGUGAAAUCCGUAGAUAUUAGAAGGAACACCAAUAGCGUAGGCAGGUUGCUGGGACGGUACUGACACUGAGGCACGAAAGCGUAGGGAGCAAACAGGAUUAGAUACCCUAGUAGUC